rnacentral:rRNA from 1 species
GAUGAACGCUGGCGGCGUGCCUAAUACAUGCAAGUCGAGCGAAUGGAUUAAGAGCUUGCUCUUAUGAAGUUAGCGGCGGACGGGUGAGUAACACGUGGGUAACCUGCCCAUAAGACUGGGAUAACUCCGGGAAACCGGGGCUAAUACCGGAUAACAUUUUGAACCGCAUGGUUCGAAAUUGAAAGGCGGCUUCGGCUGUCACUUAUGGAUGGACCCGCGUCGCAUUAGCUAGUUGGUGAGGUAACGGCUCACCAAGGCAACGAUGCGUAGCCGACCGGAGAGGGUGAUCGGCCACACUGGGACUGGGACACGGCCCAGACUCCUACGGGAGGCAGCAGUAGGGAAUCUUCCGCAAUGGACGAAAGUCUGACGGAGCAACGCCGCGUGAGUGAUGAAGGCUUUCGGGUCGUAAAACUCUGUUGUUAGGGAAGAACAAGUGCUAGUUGAAUAAGCUGGCACCUUGACGGUACCUAACCAGAAAGCCACGGCUAACUACGUGCCAGCAGCCGCCGCAG